rnacentral:lncRNA from 1 species
UAAGUGCGUUAUAAUGACGAUCGCCGGCAGGGAAAUUCGAAUCUCGCAAAAUAGCUUGUCGGGGAGCCGAGGAUUCUCUUGGCGUAUUAUACCGAGGCCUCGGCCAAUAAUUCAAUGACGAUUGAUCCGCGCACGCCAUCGAUACCGACAGAAAACUUAAUGACGCUCGUAAUCUGCCAAUCGAUCUUUUUCGUCUUGGACGAAUCGACGAAUCCUUUUCGAUAGAUCGAUGAACGAAGAUUCGACUGCAAUCAAUUUUAUAAUCGCCAUCAACACGAAUCUGUUAGAUCAUGAGAGAAGAACGGUAAUUCAUGACUUAAGAAAUCGAUUCUCUAUUCGACAGAAUCGAUCGUAUUAAUUACCCCAAAGAUUUAGAUUAUUACAAAUCGAUUUUCUCUACGCCAUGCCGUUGAAGGUUAUCCUCCGUAUCUCCAUGAACGAAAACACAAAAGGUGAAAGAAUAGAAUGUGUAGAAUUUAUAAUAAAACUAGAAGAUGAAGUGAAUUACGUUUUUCCACUGGAAUUGUCAGCGCAAGGAGGAUGGGUGUAAAUUCUAUAGAAUUCAAACUACCUGCUAAUCGACAUAUUUACUUUUGCUUUGUUUUACUGGUAACCAUUUUACUGAAUGAGUUACAUCACGAGAGAAGAACGGUAAUUUAGGACUUAAGAAAUCGAUUCUCGAUUCGACAGGUAAAAUUUCUAGUAGAUUUGUUAUUAAUGAUUAUUGUAUAUAAUUCAAUUUAUUCCUAAAAUAAACUCGAUUUUCCAGAAUCGAUCGUCUUAUUUACCCCAAGGAUUUACGUUAUUACACAUAUAAUGAAGCAGUAGAACAAUCAGUAACUGACAACUCCUCCAGGAAUAUCCUGAAAUAAUUGAUUUUACCAGAGAACAGAUUUAAUAUGUAUGCAGCUCUUCAGAACUCGCGUUAUCCAAGUAGACCAAUACAAUCAUCCCGCUGAAUCAUCCAGAUACACCUGCUGGAAUAACAUUGCCGUCAUUAUCGUGUCUCUUUCACGCAGCACACGCGAAAGCUCGCGUGCACCUUCUUCAUUUUGUCCGUUUGGCUCCGAAGCUUUUCCAUCCUUUACCUUUGCCUUUGCUGUUAGUUGCGCGCGUCUCUUGCCAUUCUUCGCGUAUCGUAUUUACGUUAUAUAAGCUUGGCUUGUGCUGACAAUGCAUGGAGAACCGUAGUGUCUGUUCGUUAUCUCGCGCGUUGAAAAAGCCAGAUGCACCGGCGACAAUGCUUAAGAUCCGACAAAGAAUUUCGCCCUGGCUUCUAACUUUUGUGGCUGGUCGUCCUCCUUUUUCUCCUGUUUCAUUCUCUGUCUUUCUUUCUCUGUAUUCUCUGUCCGUCUGUCUGUCUGUCUCUCUAGGUUCUUCAAUCUGUUUGUGCCUGCUCUCAUCUUUUUCUUCCUCCGUUUCUUUCUCUUCUCUCAAGCCUCUUCCUGUGCCUGCGCUCUCUGUCCAUUUCUUUCUUUCAUUUCUUGCUUUCUCCUCGUUAUUUGAUGCAAGAAACGUGACACGGGCCAUUGCAGCACGAGUCAAAGCGUCUCACGCGUAAUUUAACUUCAGCUUCGGUAAACGCAACUCCACGACACACAGCCGUGUUUCUACCCCUUUGUGCUAUGGCCACGAGUCUGCUUCGGCUGUCCACACGACUUUCACUCGUCCACCGCGGACACGUAGACAGCCCUUAUCCCCCGGCGGGACACCAAAAGCCUGGCAUUCCUAGGACUUUGCCCGGGAUAUGUAUUUGACUCUGAUAGCUACAGAGUCACGUGUCUCGAAUAAAAUACCGCUCCGUCCAGACGACAUCCAAGCAGCCGCAUAUGAGUUCCACGUUCCGCGUUAUAUCACACUACGAUGUUUUAUUUAUCAAGUUUGAACUGAUAUUCCCAGCACUGGCGAAACGUUGAACCACUCUUGAAUCUGAUAUAUCGUUAACCGAGUCCGAUUAUGUUAAAUCACGUGCCAUUUACGCAAAGCCUGAUUUAAAAAACGCUUCAUUGGAAGAUAAGAGGUUGUGCGAGUAAUUUCUAGAGCCGCUGUGAGAUCAAAGUGGCUAACUGAACAUCAACAGCUGCGGUGCCGAAAUAUAUUGAUGACCGUUGGGCCUUCUGAAAUUUUCCGACCCUUU